rnacentral:misc_RNA from 1 species
UAUCCGUAGGUGAACCUGCGGAUGGAUCAUUACCAAAGAUUAUUACAAGUCUUGUGAAUUGUUUUGAAUAUGUAUUGUUGGGGUGGUAAUCAUCACCUCGACGGUAAAAUACACGUAUAUACCCUUAGCCUGACGUCUACUUUAGUAGUAAAUCAAUCUAAAGACAACUUUUAGCAACGGAUCUCUUGGCUCUC